rnacentral:rRNA from 1 species
CACGCCCUAAACGAUGCAAGCUAGGUGUUGGUGGGAUUUCCCAUCCGUGCCGUACCAAACGCGUUAAGCUUGCCGCCUGGGGGCUACAAGCGCAAGCUUAAAACUCAAAGGAAUUGACGGGGGCCCGCACAAGCAGCGGAGCGUGCGGUUCAAUUCGAUGCAACACGAAGAACCUUACCAGGGUUUGACAGGAGCGUGGUAGGGAAGCGAAAGCGGACCGACCCGCAAGGGAGCGUUCACGGGUGAUGCAUGGCUGUCUUCGGCUCGUGCGAUGAGGUGGUGGUUUUUUUUUUCUAUUGGCGCUACAUCAGUAACGCGAUGAACCA